UGGAACGAAAUUGGCCUGAUUAGCG
rnacentral:rasiRNA from 1 species